GCUUCGCACGUGCAGGAGAUCCUUGCUUCAGUUUCGCAGUCGGACUGGCGCGCUCCAAAUGAUUAAAUACCAUCCAGUUUUUUCGAUGUACAGAUUGAGUGUUAUUUGCGAUAUAUCACCACAAAUUAAAAGUAAAUAUGGAUAUUGUUGGUGAGCUUUUGAAAGGACCACUUGCGAAAAGAACUGUGUAAGAGAAAUUACUUUUUGCGAAAAUGGAUAUUCCGCGGCUAAAAUUGGACAAGUUAGAAACGGACAAAUAGUUACACGGAACUUUAAUGCUGCAGCUUACGACGCGAAGUGUGGUUCAGAGACAAAAGUGAAGCUGUUUCGUUGACCUUAUUUGCUGUUACAGAACCCAGCGGAAAACUGUGUAGAACAGAGUAGGAUAUGCAGAUUUGAAUCAUGCAUCUUCCGCUAGAAAAGCUCAUCCAGCUUCCAAAGAGCACAUCAACAAUAGCAUAGCAUGCUGCACGUUUGGGAACUCGCAUUGAAGAUGUCUUAGAUCAUACUAAUGAAGUCGCAAAAAGCAAGUAUAAUUCAAUUGUGAAGAAAAACAGGGACAUGAAAUAGUUUGUUUGUUUUCUGGACUUACAUGGGAUGAGCCUCCAAGGUCACGAUGAAAGUUUAAGGUCUGUAAAUAGAAGAAAGACAUGUGUAACAUUUUGGAUACGAAAGAUAUGUCGUUUUCUGACUUCAUAAAUGCCACGGCAGUUUUUCUGGAACAUUGGCAACAAUUCAGAAUGAGUUGGUGGAAAUUGUUUGAUCCGCCAUGCUACAGCAGAUCCUGCGGGAAAUACCAGGCUGAUUUCGUUACAGUUAUGAACAACGAAACCACUGAUAUUUCCAGUAUAUCCCAGUUGGCUACAACACUACGAUAUUGCUUGAACGACGGUAUUCCCGUCGAAAUAUUUGUGUCAUUGAGGGAUGUUAGUAGUUACAAGUCCGGUACAGCUUUAGCUAACCAUGUUAUUAGCAUGCAGCAAUUGGGCGUAUUACCUGCUAAGCUGGUUGCGCUAACAUACGAUGAAGCUCGAGUGAUGUCAGGAGAUAAAGGAUGAACCCAGGCGAUUGUAAAGAAGUCAUUUCCAAACGCUGAUUAUAUUCAUUCCCAAAGCGCGAUUGUGGCUUUCUAGUUUUGAAAUAUUUUUAUACUCAAAGACGAAGGAUCCAUGAGAAACCUGAGAAGGUCACCGACAAAAACCUCUAAAUAUGAAGCUAACAUACAGUAUAUUUCGAGAACAGAACACUCAUAUCUCUACCUUCUGGUUUUUGGAAUAUGUUUAUACCCAACGACGAAGAAUCCAUGAGAAAACUUAGGUCUCCAAGAAACACAUUUACAACAAAAGCAAAAAUUGCAUACUUUCUAUUUUUUUGACGUAGGACUACGUCUUUCAUUUCUAUACCGGGGUGUAAAAUCAAAGUUUCGAAAACGAAAGCGUUACGCCGGAGACCGAGAUUUUGAGCGUUAAUAGCUCCUAAACAACUGAGCGAAAUGGUAUGAUAAACACUUCAUUCGAAAUGAAAUAAUGUCUACGCGUUCUAUACUUGUUACUUUUUGAUCCAAAAUCUUGUUUCAAUAGUCUUAAAAUUGCUUUCAAAACAGGCUAUUGAAAUCACCAAUCGGUAUAUAAGCGAGCGUCGCUCGGAAAUCCACUCAGUUAUAAUUGAACAGCGAUUGGAGCAUGUUGUCACUGUUGUGGUGAAGCUCUUCGUUUAUCAUGAAAGCGCGGAUGAACGGUGCCACCAAGAGCCUGUUUGUGCACCUUAGACCAGAAGGAAAUCCAUCAGGAGGAGAGUGAUGCCACAAACGGUUCCCCGGGAAGAGUUCGGAGCAGCCGCCACACACAUACACGCGCGGAACUCUUCGUUUGGAUGCCAUUCAGCAUCGAGAAAACUCCGGAAAGAUUCAAUCGUUGCUGAAAAAUAAUCCGCCAGUUCCUCUGGAAACUGAAAAAUACAUUCAUGCAAAAGAGUUCAUUUUAAUGUUUUCUAUCCAUGUAACACUGCGACCAAAUAUUUUUCAAUUAGGUGCUAUUAACAGGUGGUUAUCGAGUUAGCAUUAACCACUGAUCGGCUUCGAGUAUCGAGGAAAAUCUGGAACAAACUAAUCUUUACUGAAAAAUACCCUGCGAAUUCCCCUGGGAAUUGAGAAAUACAUUGAUGCGAAAGAGUUUAUUCUAAUGUUUUCUAUGCAUAUAACACUGCAACCAAAUACAUUUUGUUUUGUGAUUUUUCAAUCGAUCGCAAUUAACAUGGAAGCUUCUGAAAAUUAUUCUUCCCAUCAGUAGAAAAUUUUCGUAUCCAAUAUUGUAUGCGCGCGCAACGGAAAAUGUUUCGCAUCGCGAAAAUUAUAUAAUUUUCAAUCGAUUAUUGCUCAGUCGCCGAAUGUUUCAAACUCAGAGAGUUCAUUCCCCUCUUGUUUGUCUUCCAAAUUGCUAUCGUAAACCACAUCUUCUCUCGAUUCAAUCACGCACAAAAAGCAUACUUAAGCGAUAUUCUGGUGGUGAAACGCAUUCAUUUUUCGUGAGGACAUCGACAAGGUAACAUCAUAAUUGAACGAGCUGGACGGCGAGGAAUCGAGGGAUCGAGAUAUUCAUUACCUAGCCUGACCUAACCUGAAAGACAUGCAGUUUGUUUGGAACUGUGAGGGAGGGCAGAAAAGCCGAGCCAUCAGGAGGAGAAGAGAUAGUGACCAAGAGAGUAUCAUCAUCGAAAAACGGUUCUCCGGGAAGACAUCGAAGCAGCCGCCACACACACACAUACACGCGCGGAAUUUCUCGUUUGGAUGCCAUUCAGCAUCGAAAAAAUUCCGGAAAGAUCUAAUCGCUGCUGAAAAAUAAUCUGUCAGUUCCCUGGGAAUUGAAAAAUACAUGAAUGUGAAAGAGUUUAUUUUAAUGUUUUCUAUCCAUGUAAAACUGCGACCAAAUAUUUUUCAAUUAAGUGCUAUUAACAGGUGGUUAUCGAGUUAGCAUUAACAACUGGUGGGCUUCGAGUAUCGAGGAGAAUCUGGGAAGAUGUUAUUGUUGCUGGAAAAUAAUCUGCCAGUUCCCCUGGGAAUUGAAAAAUACAUUCAUGCUAAAGAGUUUAUUUUAAUGUUUUCUAACAUAUAACGCUGCGACCAAAUACAUUUGGUUUUGUGAUUUUUCAAUCAAGUGCAAUUAGCAGGAAAGCUUCUGAAGAUUUUUCUUCCCCAUCAGUAGGAUAUGUUCGUUUCCAAUAUUGGAUGCGCGCGCAACGGAAAAUGUUUCGCAUCGCGAAAAACAUAAUUCUCAAUCGAUUAUUGCUCAGUCGCUGAAAGUUUCAAACUCAGAGAGUUCAUUCGCCUCUAUUUUGCCUUCCAAAUUGCCAUCGUAAACCACACCUUCUUUCUAUUCAAUCACGGACAAAAAGCAUACUUAAGCGAUAUUCUGGUGGUGAAACGCAAUCUGUUAGAGGCGAAUGAACUGAAAAGUUUAAAGCCUCUUUAAUUCAACAUCAUCAUCAUGAAAUGCAAUCAUUUUUCGUGAGGACAUCGUUAUUGAGCGAGCUGAACGUGCUGGACGAGCUGGAGGGCGAGGGAUCAAGAGAUUCAUUACCUGACAUGAAACGCAUUCAGUUAGUUUGGAACAGUGAGGGAGCGCAGAAAAACCGAUCCAUCAGAAGAAGAGAAGACGACCGAGAGAGUAUCAGCACCGAAAAACGGUUCCGUUUGAGACAUCAGAGCAGCCGACACACACACACACACACACAUAUAUACGUGCGGAACUUCUUUCGUUUAAAUGCCAUCCAGCAUCGAGAAGAUUCCGGAAGAAUAUUAUCGUUGCUGGAAAAUAUUCUGCCAGUUCCCCUGGGAAUUGAUAAAUUCAUGCGAAAGAGUUUAUUUUAAUGUUUCCUAACCAUAUAACACUGCGACGAAAUACAUUUGUUUUUGUGAUUUUUCAAUCAAGUGCAAUUAUCAGAAUUUAUUUUAACCUUUUCUAUCCAUAUAAUACUGCGACCAAAUACAAUUGGUUUAAAAUACAAUACAAUUGGUUUUGUGAUGUUUCAAUCAAGUGCAAUUAACAGGUGGUUAUCGAGUUAGCAUUAACCACUGGUGAUGGGCUUCGAGAAGAAUCCGGAAAGAUAUCGCUGCUGCAAAAUAAUCUGCCAGUUCCCCUUGGCAUUGAAAAUAACAUGCAAGCGAAAGAGUUUAUUUUAAUGUUUUCUAACCAUAUAACACUGCGACCUAAUACAUUUCGUUCUGUGAUUUUUCAAUCAAGGGCAAUUAGCAGGAAAGCUUCUGAAGAUUAUUCUUCCUCAUCAGUAGGAUAUUUUCGUAUCCAAUAUUGGAUGCAUAAAACCUUGUACCUCUAACGCAACGCUCUCGUUUUCGAAGUCCCCCGAAUAUUCAUUUAUUCUUCAUUCAGAAUGGAUUCAGAUUCAACUUCAAACAAAUGAUCACUGAAUCAACGAUAGUCCUACGUCACCAUUGCGGUUAUACCAUAGAUAUAACCCACUUCCUGUUUUGACGUAGGACUACGUCUUUCAUUUCUAUACCGGGGUGUAAAAUCAAAGUUUCGAAAACGAAAGUGUUACGCCGGAGAC